GAUAUAUAAAACAUAAUCAAAGUCCACAGGAAAACCAAACCAAACUAAGGGCCCAAAACAGCAGCCCGGGCAAAACAAAAUAUCUAUCUUUAAAGAAAAAUAAAAUCCUGCCUAAAUAAACUAAAAGAGAAUUCUAGAAUCUCAUUUAUUACCACCGUACAAAUGCCCAAUCAGAGACUUCAAUCGCCUGCUAUUACCAUCAUUUCUGUCAAUUCAUCUUUAAUGGUGAUAUAAGAUUUCAAAGGAAGCAUUUACCACUGAGACUAUUGAUUUAGCCAUUUGAAACUUCCCUCUAACUUUUCAUUUCUUUUCUUCUUCAAUCCGGCUCUCUCUCCAAGUCAUUUUUCCUCUGGUUUUCGGCAUAAACGGGCACGCUUUCAACCAGGUAAGUUCAUUCCUGCCUUCUUAGAGAUUCUUUAGCUAAUAUGUGGGCUAAACUAUUCGCUGAUCUAGGGGUAUAUUCAAACUUAAGAUUGCCCGAUCUGGAUUUUAACUGAUGGAUAUCAUGUAUAAAGGCCCCUAUCUUCGAUUUAUCUUCCCCUUUAGCAUUACAUCUUUUAAUAAUGGAUAAAGAAUCACCUCCAAUGAUGAUUUCCUUUCCUUGCAUAUCGAAACCUAUCCUGGUUGCUGUCCUGCAAGCUAACGCUUUGGCAGCGAAGGCAGAGGGCACUCCAAAAUGAAGCUUUGUGCAUGACAGGAGAACAAACCUUUCACUGUUUCUGGCUACUAUCACUGUUUUUGGCUACUAUCCCAGAGGCCGAUUGUUGAUUACACUCGUCAAACGCUUCAUCGAAAUUUAUUUUUAUUAACUGCCCAGGUGGGGGUUUCCACUUUUUAACUUCCUUAACGAUAUUAGGCUUGUUGCUCUUAACACCUUCCAGUUCUUCUAAAUAGCUAAGAACAAAGCUUACAAUCUCCUGACUCGAUCUUUUUGUUUUGUCACGUACAUGAGUUUUUAUGUUACCCCAGAUGGCCCAUAGCGUGCAACAAAAUAGUUUGCAGAGAGGUUGAGGUUGGAGAACAAGGUUCUUGGUAAGCCACUGUUUGAAAUCUAAGUUUGUUCCCUUUUAUACUGUUUAAAGUUGAUAAAGUUCUCUAUACUGCUACUGAUACAGGACAAUGACGGAAAAGAUGGUUCAUCGUUUCUAGUUCUUCCCCACAUCGAGGGCAUAAUGUACUGUUUGUCAGUUUCCUACAAAGAAUGUUCACUCGAGUAGGCAGAUAAUUCCAUGAAAUCUUCCAGAUGGUGAUUAAAAUUUUAUAUGGUAGAUCGAGGCUCCAUAAUUUUUUAUAAAAUUCCUUUAAUUCCAAAGAUUGGCUCUAAUCUGAAUAGUCUCUAUCUCUUUGUAGUAAUCAUCCACAGAUUUAUCUUCUUGAACAAGAUGUUGGAGUCUUUGAUGGAGUUCUCGAUAAUAGUAUGGUGGAACAAACCGUUUUCGUAAGAUGCGCUUCAUUUCAACCCAAGUAGUAACAGGUUGCUCUCUAUAAAGAAUCUGCUUUUACAUAAUUGAUUCCACCAUGUUAGUGCAUAAUUAAUGAACUCAGCGACAGCGUAUGUUACCUUUUUCUCAUCAGAGUAAUUGUAACAAGCAAAUAUUGCUUCCAUCUUUUCCUCCCAAUCAAGGUAAGCAUCAGGAUCAUUCUUCCCUGAGAAAGAAGGAAAUUUUGGUUUGGGGGUGUCAUUGUUUCGUUCCACUCUUUCUAUAGGUACAUACUCUGGACUCAAAGUCAUCAUAAAAAACAUGGUCCUACCUUCGUUUAAAAGUUCGAUCGCGCGAAUUUGAUCGGCUUAUAAAGGCUUCGUUCAACUUCUUUUAAUUAUCGGCAAUGUAUCUCUCUUGAGUUGUAAGUUUUGUAUCAAGAUACUCCCUUUGCUCUUGUAUCAUUUGGGUCAUGCGAUGUUCGACUUGAGUUUGCAAUUUUUUCAUCUCUUUUUGUAACAACUCGACCAAAGGAUCGUUAUCUUUUUUUUGCUCAUCCUCUUCAUUUUUACUAGUUUGGGAUCUAGUGAUCGGCAUGGUAUCUUUGAAAAAAUCACACAAACAGGAACAAGAAAAUAAUAAUAAUAACCUCACUCGUUAGCUCUUAAAAGAAUAACUCUCUGAAUGAUUCAAAACUUGUAAAUAUGUUUGGAGAGGGCUACUAAUCAAGAUCAAAUAAUGGAGGUGUAAACUUCAAAGAAACAAUGAAGAUCUUUAAGAGGCCAAUAAACUUGACGACGCAAUUUGUAAUGGAGGCUACACGGAUGAAGAAAUUGUGCGUGCCUUUAAUAUCUGCUAACACAAGAAGAAACAAUGUGUUAGAAAGCGUAAGAGAAAAAGAAAACGUAGAUCUGUAACGAUCCCUAACUCUAGAGUCAAAGAAAAAUUUUAAUAAGAAGAAAACUUAAAAAAACUCUAUCCAAUUUAAAGGAAAAUAAAAAAUCGAAAACGUUCGGUGUCUUAAGAUUUUC
rnacentral:lncRNA from 1 species